UCCCAUUCAGCACGGGCAGUCUACCUAGAGUGCCCCCUUUCGGGGUUGCAACUAAGUACAAGGGUUUCGCUCGUUACAGCACUUAAGCUAACAUCUCACGACACGAGCUGACGACAGCCAUGCAACACCUGAUGUAGGCUCCCCUUGCGGGGUCGUUACCGUUUCCGGUUCCUACCACCCACACUUCAAGCCCGGGUAAGGUUCUUCGCGUUGCAUCGAAUUGAACCACAUGCUCCACCGCUUGUGCGAGCCCCCGUCAAUUCCUUUGAGUUUUAACCUUGCGGCCGUACUCCCCAGGCGGGACACUUAACGCGUUAGCUGCGACAGAGAGAGGCAAGCCCCCCUCCAUCUAGUGUCCAUCGUUUACGGCUGGGACUAC
rnacentral:misc_RNA from 1 species